ensembl:rRNA 5S_rRNA 5S ribosomal RNA
GUCUAUGGCCAUACCACCCAAAAUGUGCCUGAUCGUGUCUGAUCUCAGAAGUUAAGCAGGGUCAGGCCUGAUUAGUACUUAGAUGGGAGGAAGUGGGCUGGGAAUGAAU